GGCGAACGGGUGAGUAACGCGUGAGGAACCUGCCUCAAAGAGGGGGACAACAGUUGGAAACGACUGCUAAUACCGCAUAAGCCCACGGGUCGGCAUCGACCAGAGGGAAAAGGAGCAAUCCGCUUUGAGAUGGCCUCGCGUCCGAUUAGCUAGUUGGUGAGGUAAUGGCCCACCAAGGCAACGAUCGGUAGCCGGACUGAGAGGUUGAACGGCCACAUUGGGACUGAGACACGGCCCAGACUCCUACGGGAGGCAGCAUG
rnacentral:rRNA from 1 species